rnacentral:lncRNA from 1 species
AUCUACAUCCUAGACUAUCCUAGAUCCUACCUCCAAAAGAAGCUUAGCUCCUCAUGUUGCUUCGUUCGCGUCCUCGCUUCAACUUCAUGGCUUGAGAAUCCAUGCUAUUGAGGUGCUUGGAGCUAUCCUUGAAGUCCUUGAUCUGGAUCUUGAUGCUUCCAAAAUCAGAGAAUGGAUGAAUAUUGCAGAAUUUUCCAACUCCGUAACAGAAUUAUGCAGAAACCUUAUAUAGUGAACGCAACCACGCCGCGCGCCAGAUCUAUCACGCCGCGCGUGGUUGCAAAUCCAUCAACUACGCCGCGCGUGUAACGGUAUCACGCGGCGCGUGAUCAAGUCAGAGAGCAA